GGCCUACCAUGGUGGUAACGGGUAACGGGGUGUUAGGGCACGACACCGGAAAGGGAGCCUGAAAAACGGCUACCACAUCCAAGGAUGGCAGCAGGCGCGCAAAUUACCCAAUCCCGACACGGGGAGGUAGUGACAAUAAAUAACAAUACGGGGUUCUUUCGGAUCUCGUAAUUGGAAUGAGUACAAUUUAAAUCUCUUAACGAGGAACAAUUGGAGGGCAAGUCUGGUGCCAGCAGCCGCGGUAAUUCCAGCUCCAAUAGCGUAUAUUAAAGUUGUUGCAGUUAAAAAGCUCGUAGUUGAAUUUCGGGGUCAGCAGGUUGGUCGUGCCAAUGGUAUGAACUGGCCUUGCUGAUUCCUCCCUCUUGAUGAGCCGUAAUGUCAUUAAUUUGGUGUUGCGGGAAAUCAGGACUGUUACUUUGAAAAAAUUAGAGUGUUUAAAGCAGGCAAGCGCUUGAAUACAUGGGGGAUGGGAUAAUGAAAUAGGACGUUUGAUCCUAUUUUGUUGGUUUCUAGGAUUGACGUAAUGAUUAAUAGGGAUAGUUGGGGGCAUUAGUAUUCAAUUGUCAGAGGUGAAAUUCUUGGAUUUAUUGAAGACUAACUACUGCGAAAGCAUUUGCCAAGGAUGUUUUCAUUAAUCAAGAACGAAAGUUAGGGGAUCGAAGACGAUCAGAUACCGUCGUAGUCUUAACCAUAAACUAUGCCGACUAGGGAUCGGAUGAUGUUAUUUUUAUGACUCAUUCGGCGGCCUUACUG
rnacentral:rRNA from 1 species